GACGAACGCUGGCGGCGUGCUUAACACAUGCAAGUCGAACGAAGAGCGAUGGAAGCUUGCUUCUAUCAAUCUUAGUGGCGAACGGGUGAGUAACGCGUAAUCAACCUGCCCUUCAGAGGGGGACAACAGUUGGAAACGACUGCUAAUACCUCAUACGAUCUAACCUCGGCAUCGAGGAUAGAUGAAAGGUGGCCUCUACAUGUAAGCUAUCACUGAAGGAGGGGAUUGCGUCUGAUUAGCUAGUUGGAGGGGUAACGGCCCACCAAGGCGAUGAUCAGUAGCCGGUCUGAGAGGAUGAACGGCCACAUUGGGACUGGGACACGGCCCAGACUCCUACGGGAGGGAGCAGUGGGGAAACUUCCGCAAUGGACGAAAGGCUGACGGAGCAACGCCGCGGGAGUGAGGACGGCCUUCGGGUUGUAAAGCUCUGUUAAUCGGGACGAAAGGCCUUCUUGCGAAUAGUGAGAAGGAUUGACGGUACCGGAAGAGAAAGCCACGGCUAACUACGUG
rnacentral:rRNA from 1 species